rnacentral:rRNA from 1 species
AUUGAACGCUGGCGGCAGGCCUAACACAUGCAAGUCGAACGGUAACAGGAAGCAGCUUGCUGCUUUGCUGACGAGUGGCGGACGGGUGAGUAAUGUCUGGGAAACUGCCCGAUGGAGGGGGAUAACUACUGGAAACGGUAGCUAAUACCGCAUAACGUCGCAAGCCCAAAGAGGGGGACCUUAGGGCCUCUUGCCAUCGGAUGUGCCCAGAUGGGAUUAGCUAGUAGGUGGGGUAACGGCUCACCUAGGCGACGAUCCCUAGCUGGUCUGAGAGGAUGACCAGCCAAACUGGAACUGAGACACGGUCCAGACUCCUACGGGAGGCAGCAGUGGGGAAUAUUGCACAAUGGGCGCAAGCCUGAAGCAGCCAUGCCGCGUGUAUGAAGAAGGCCUUCGGGUUGUAAAGUACUUUCAGCGGGGAGGAAGGGAGUAAAGUUAAUACCUUUGCUCAUUGACGUUACCCGCAGAAGAAGCACCGGCUAACUCCGUG